rnacentral:lncRNA from 1 species
CACAAAACAAAGAACAUAAGAUUACUUUGUUUAACCCUUUCAAUAUCCUCCAUUCAUGGCCAAGAAACUCAAAGUAACCCUCCCUUUCAUUCUCCUAAUAGUUUUCUUGAUCUUCACGUUACUGAUUUCCGCCCUAGAAGCCCGUAAGUUUGCUCCGAAUCAUCUCCGCCAUGCCAUUAUGAAACCCGGCGGCCCUAAACAACUAGGGCAAGGACUUCAACUCAAUGAAGUUUUCGAAGUUCUCGAUCUUUUCGGAAUCAAGGAUUCCUCCGGACCAAGUGAUCAUGGAGACGGGCAUUGAUCUUGAUAUAGUGUCUAUGGUGUGUUAAAGUUUAAUACUAUGGGUUGCAGUGUGUAAUGGUUAAAAAUAAAUUCCUUGACUUGGCCAUUGUAGUUGUACAAGGCCACAGUGAUCAUAGAGGAAAUAUCAAAGGCAUGUGAAACAUACAAG